UCGGCAUCAUUUAUGAUGGGUAGGGGAGCUUCGUAUGCAGGCUGAAGCAUGACCGUAAGGACAUGUGGACAGUAUACGAGUGAGAAUGUUGGCAUGAGUAGCGAGACGUGGGUGAGAAUCCCACGGGCCGUAAACCCAAGGUUUCCAGGGGAAGGUUCGUCCGCCCUGGGUUAGUCGGGACCUAAGCCGAGGCCGAAAGGCGUAGGUGAUGGACAACAGGUUGAUAUUCCUGUACCGCCAAUAAGCGUUUGAGAGAUGGAGUGACACAGUAGGAUAAGCUAACCGUACUGUUGGUUAUGUACGGCUAAGCAUUGAGGCAGUCUAAAUAGGCAAAUCCGUUUAGACAAUGCUAGGAUGUGAUGGGGAAGCCCUUCGGGGCGAAGUAGCUGAUUUCACACUGUCAAGAAAAGCUUCUAUCGAGUUUAAAGGCGCCCGUACCGUAAACCGACACAGGUGGGUGAGGAGAGUAUCCUAAGGCCAGCGAGAGAACUAUUGUUAAGGAACUCGGCAAAAUGACCCCGUAACUUAGGGAGAAGGGGUGCCUGUCUAUGACAGGCCGCAGAGAAUAGGCCCAAGCGACUGUUUACCAAAAACACAGGUUUCUGCUAAGUCGCAAGACGAUGUAUAGGAGCUGACGCCUGCCCGGUGCUGGAAGGUUAAGGGGAUCUGUUAGAGCAAUCGAAGCAGUGAACUUAAGCCCCAGUAAACGGCGGCCGUAACUAUAACGGUCCUAAGGUAGCGAAAUUCCUUGUCGGGUAAGUUCCGACCCGCACGAAAGGCGUAACGAUUUGGGCACUGUCUCAACAAUAGACUCGGUGAAAUUGUAAUCCCGGUGAAGAUGCCGGGUACCUGCGACAGGACGGAAAGACCCCAUGGAGCUUUACUGUAGCUUGACGUUGGGUCUUGGUACUACAUGUACAGGAUAGGUGGGAGACUAUGAAGCAUGGACGCCAGUCUGUGUGGAGUCAUCCUUGGGAUACCACCCUUGUAGUACUGGGAUCCUAACCAUAGGCCUUGAAUCAGGUCUUGGAACACCGUCAGGUGGGCAGUUUGACUGGGGCGGUCGCCUCCUAAAAAGUAACGGAGGCGCUCAAAGGUUUCCUCAGCACGGUCGGAAAUCGUGCGAAGAGUGUAAAGGCAAAAGGAAGCUUGAUUGCAAGUCAUACAGGUCGAGCAAGGACGAAAGUCGGACUUAGUGAUCCGGUGGUACCGCAUGGAAGGGCCAUCGCUCAACGGAUAAAAGCUACCCUGGGGAUAACAGGCUUAUCUCCCCCAAGAGUCCACAUCGACGGGGAGGUUUGGCACCUUGAUGUCGGCUCAUCACAUCCUGGGGCUGUAGUAGGUCCCAAGGGUGGGGCUGUUCGCCCAUUAAAGUGGUACGCGAGCUGGGUUCAGAACGUCGUGAGACAGUUCGGUCCCUAUCCGUCGCAGGCGUAGGAAAUUUGAGAAGACCUGUCCUUAGUACGAGAGGACCGGGAUGGACGUACCUCUGGUGUACCAGUUGUUCUGCCAAGGGCAUGGCUGGGUAGCUAUGUACGGAAUGGAUAAGCGCUGAAAGCAUCUAAGCGCGAAGCCAACUUCAAGAUAAGAUUUCCCACCGUAAGGGUAAGACCCCAGGAAGACUACCUGGUUGAUAGGUCGAAGGUGUAAGUGCAGUAAUGUAUUUAGCUUAUCGAUACUAAUAGGUCGAGGACUCGACC
rnacentral:rRNA from 1 species